CACAGUGAGAUGAAAAAAAGAUAUUAUUCCAAAGAUACAAUGAAGUGAGGAAGAAGAUAUUAUUUCAAAGACACAAUGAGGUGAGGAAGAAGAUAUAAUUCCAAAAACACAAUAAGAUGAAGAAGAAGAUAUUAUUACAAAGACACAAUAAGGUGAGGAAGAAGAUAUUAUUUUAAAGACAAAAUGAGGUGAAGAAGAAGAUAUUAUUUCGAAGAUAUAAUGAGGUGAGGAAGAAGAUAUUAUUAUUUUAAAGACACAAUGAAGUGAGGAAGAAUAUAUUAUUCCAAAGACAUGAUGAGGUGAGAAAGAAGAUUUUAUGCCAAAGACACAGUGAGAUGAAAAAAAGAUAUUAUUCCAAAGAUACAAUGAAGUGAGGAAGAAUAUAUUAUUUCAAAGACACAAUGAAGUGAGGAAGAAGAUAUAAUUCCAAAAACACAAUAAGAUGAAGAAGAAGAUAUUAUUACAAAGACACAAUAAGAUGAGGAAGAAGAUAUUAUUUUAAAGACAAAAUGAGGUGAAGAAGAAGAUAUUAUUUUGAAGAUAUAAUGAGGUGAGGAAGAAGAUAUUAUUAUUUUAAAGACACAAUGAAGUGAGGAAGAAGAUAUUAUUCCAAAGACACAAUAAAGUGAGGGAGAAGAUAUUAUUCCAAAGUUACAAUGACGUUUGGAAGAAGAUAAUAUUCCAAUGACUGAAUGAGGUGAAGAAGAAGAUAUUAUUCUAAAGACACAAUGAGGUGAAGAAGAAGAUAUUAUUCCAAAGAUAUAAUGAGGUGAGGAAGAAGAUAUUAUUUCAAAGACAUGAUGAGGUGAGAAAGAAGAUUUUAUGCCAAAGACACAAUGAGAUGCGAAAAAGAUAAUAUUCC
rnacentral:lncRNA from 1 species